rnacentral:rRNA from 1 species
CCUACGGGGGGCAGCAGUGGGGAAUAUUGCACAAUGGGCGAAAGCCUGAUGCAGCAACGCCGCGUGAGUGAUGAAGGUUUUCGGAUCGUAAAGCUCUGUCUUUGGGGAAGAUAAUGACGGUACCCAAGGAGGAAGCCACGGCUAACUACGUGCCAGCAGCCGCGGUAAUACGUAGGGGGCUAGCGUUAUCCGGAAUUACUGGGCGUAAAGGGUGCGUAGGUGGUUUCUUAAGUCAGAGGUGAAAGGCUACGGCUCAACCGUAGUAAGCCUUUGAAACUGGGAAACUUGAGUGCAGGAGAGGAGAGUGGAAUUCCUAGUGUAGCGGUGAAAUGCGUAGAUAUUAGGAGGAACACCAGUUGCGAAGGCGGCUCUCUGGACUGUAACUGACACUGAGGCACGAAAGCGUGGGGAGCAAACAGGAUUA